rnacentral:rRNA from 1 species
AGUGAACGCUGGCGGUAGGCCUAACACAUGCCAGUCGAACGGCAGCACAGUAAGAGCUUGCUCUUACGGGUGGCGAGUGGCGGACGGGUGAGGAAUACAUCGGAAUCUACUUUUUCGUGGGGGAUAACGUAGGGAAACUUACGCUAAUACCGCAUACGACCUACGGGUGAAAUCAGGGGAUCUUCGGACCUUGCGCGAUUGAAUGAGCCGAUGUCGGAUUAGCUAGUUGGCGGGGUAAAGGCCCACCAAGGCGACGAUCCGUAGCUGGUCUGAGAGGAUGAUCAGCCACACUGGAACUGAGACACGGUCCAGACUCCUACGGGAGGCAGCAGUGGGGAAUAUUGGACAAUGGGCGCAAGCCUGAUCCAGCCAUACCGCGUGGGUGAAGAAGGCCUUCGGGUUGUAAAGCCCUUUUGUUGGGAAAGAAAAGCAGCAGGUUAAUACCCCGCUGUUCUGACGGUACCCAAAGAAUAAGCACCGGCUAACUUCGUG